AUUAUUUAAAGUAUAUGUAUUCUUGGCCGUUUCUUAAACAUGUGGGAUAAUAUGGGAUAUUCAUGUUGAAUAAAUUAUUUCUAAUUAAUUUUGCAUCUCUAUUUCUCUUUAAGUUUACAUUUAGUAUCAAAUAUAUUUUUCUUGUUUUAAUCUAUCGCAAUUAUUCUUUUGGAUUCUUUAUUCGUGUCUUUCAUGUGUUUAAGGUCAAGCCUAGUAUUAUUGGUAUUGGAAGAUGUGUCGUCAUUGAUGAGGUGACGUUGAACCACUAUCGUGUCUUGCUUCUUUAGGUGCAAAAGGUCUUAGAACAUUGAUGUUGUAGCUCAUCAAGGCUCCGUUGAAGUUACUCUGAGGAGUAUUAAAUCUAUUUUGUAUACUCAUCUAGCAUUAUGUGAAUAACAUCAUUUUUGGACAAUAGGUGGAGGAGGUACGUUGAUUAUUUUGUGGAAGAUGAAAUCAUUCACACAUCUACAAAAUAAUGAGUAUUGAGUAUUUUGUUUUAUAUUCAUGUGAUGUGAAAAUUUUAAAAUUACACUACUGCAAAAUAGACUUUUUAUAGUGACUGUUUAUACAUGUUCAAAUUCAUUAGAAAAUUAUGUGGGUGGCAGAAUGAUAAAUAAGGGAAACUAUUUUAAAUCGGUUAUACUAAAAAAAGUAUAAAAAAUAGCACGAUGGCAAAAUCAUUAUAAAUGACAAAAAAUUCUACACAAGUUACACUGAGAACCUGUAUAAAAAAUAAUUUUUACACCUAUUUUACUUAGAACCGGUAUGGAAUAUUAAAUAUUCUGUCCACCCCUUCGAUUCACGCUUCACUUUCUCUGCGCGCAUCUUCUAUUUUCUCUUAGUUCUCUCUAGCACUUCUUCUCCUUUGCUUCACGUCUUCUCUUAGUGCUCUUUGGCAUGUCUUCUUCUCCUCCACAAGCUCCUUUGCAUUGAGGACAGAGUUCAAAAUCGCCAACACCGCGACUUUUUCAAAUCGCCUACUUAUCAUAACCCUCGUGCUCUUGGACUGCGACUUCUCUAGAAGUGCUCACGCAACUGGGAAGCUUUGAGUGCGAAUGUUAUGUCAUGAGGCACAUGUAGAAAAUUAUAUCCGCCUAUGUCGUUGACUUAUGGAAUUUGAUAUUUGAUGACAUGUCUCCAAUGGAGUAACAUGUCAUAAAGGAUGUUCGGGAGCAAUGGACUGCAUUUCUUUUAGGUUUAAACCCUCAGAUGGUCCUUAUAUUUGUAUGAGAAUCUCAAGCGAGUCCUCAUUUUUGCAAUUGUCUCAAAUGAGUCAUAAUAUUUGUAAAAUUGAGUUAAUUUUGUCCUAUCCGUUAAGUUGUCAUAGACGAUGUUAAUUGGUGCUGACAAUUGCUGACAUGGUGAAGCUGAUGUAAAAGUGUUUUAUUAUGUGGAAUUUUUUUUAAAAUUAAGAGUUUUUGACGUGUCAAAAUUUAUUCCGAAUCCAAGUAAUUUGUUCCUAAUCGAACCUCACAUAAGCUCAUCCAAAUCUGGUCAGACUCCCUCCCAUGGACCUCGUCGUCCGUCAUUGGUUGCCGAUUGCAGAGCUUCAACGGCGCUAGUCAUUAGCUAAGUAUACCAUUGAUUGGGUAAUUAAAAAGAUAAAAAUCAUUGAGCAAGUCCUCCUCUAACGUAGAGACCACCGUUGCAACCUCUACGUGAAACCAGUUCGCACGCCGCCACCAUCUUCGCGUAUCAUCUCCUUCAUCGCAACACCUCGUCACGCAUCCAUAGCCGCCAACGUAGAGGACGCAACCCGCAACGAACAACUGCCCCUCCACCGCGACGCAGAAGUGCUCCAGCGCCACCAACAAUCAUCUUUCCGUCGCGCACAAGCCUUCAACCUACAAGGGAAAUACAAAGAACGAAAAACCCAGUCGGAGUAGAAGGCGUUGCUCCAGAGACCGCCCUACUCGCGAUAUCCACCAUGCCUGAACACCAUCUUCGCACAUCACCAUCAACACGCAUCUACAGAGAGAACUACAUCGCGAACAUCUUCUCAAUCAUGACCUCCAUCAUCAAUCUCGCGUAAUCAUGGCAGCUUGCACCUCCAUUCGAAACAUGCACAUAGAUUCGAAACCCCAAUCACAAAGAGGAAACCUUAGAAUCGCGCACCCAAUUUGGGAAAAUCAGCACCAACCUGCAAGAAACCCAAGGAAGAAACGCAAAGUCACAAAACCAGGGAUUCAAUGAAGAGAUCGGAAGGGGUUGUGUACAAAGGUAUUUUAUCAGAUGAAAGACAUGCAGCAAUUAAGAGACUGAAUGAAGCUAAACAAGGAGAAGGAGAAUUCCUUGCUGAAGUAAGCAUCAUUGGAAGGCUUAAUCACAUGAACUUGAUUCAAAUGUGGAGAUAUUGUGCUGAGGGAAAGCAUAGAUUGUUGGUGUAUGAAUAUAUGGAGAAUGGUUCUUUGGCAAAAAUUAUGUCAUCCAACACUCUUGAUUGGAGUAAGAUACAACAUUGCCCUUGGAACUACAAGAGUUCUAGCAUAUCUUCAUGAUGCUUGGAGUGGAUUUUGCACUGUGAUAUAAAGCCCCAGAACAUACUUCUUGAUGCUAAUUAUUAACCCAAGGUAGCAUAUUUUGGCCUGUCGAAGCUAAAAAACAGGGACAAUGUGAACAAUUCAAGUUUUUCAAUGAUAAGAGGAACAAGAGGGUACAUGGCACUUGAGUGGGUUCUGAACUUAGCAAUCACCUCGAAGGUUGAUGUUUACAACUAUGGAAUUGUUAUAUUGGAGAUGAUAACUGGGAAGAUCCCAACAAGGAAGAAAUGCAAAAUCAACAAUAAAAAAUCCCCAAUUUGUUUGUCACUCCCCCGACACCACUCUCCAAAUUCCACGUAAUCAAAUAGUACACAUCAGCAUAUUAUGUUUGCACCACGUCACCAGAUCUUAACAUCGUUUGUGAGAACUUAACAGACAGGGAAAAAUUGGCUCAAUUUUACAAAUAUUGGGACCCAAUUGAGACAGUUGCAAAUAUGAGAACCCACUUGAGAUUUUCAUACAAAUAUGAAGAUCAUCCGAGGGUUUAAACCUUUAGGUUAACCAUAUGUAAAUUAUU